rnacentral:rRNA from 1 species
AUAAGGAGCUUGCUCCUUUGACGUUAGCGGCGGACGGGUGAGUAACACGUGGGUAACCUACCUAUAAGACUGGAAUAACUCCGGGAAACCGGGGCUAAUGCCGGAUAAUAUUUAGAACCGCAUGGUUCUAAAGUGAAAGAUGGUUUUACUAUCACUUAUAGAUGGACCCGCGCCGUAUUAGCUAGUUGGUGGGGUAAUGGCUUACCAAGGCAACGAUACGUAGCCGACCUGAGAGGGUGAUCGGCCACACUGGAACUGAGACACGGUCCAGACUCCUACGGGAGGCAGCAGUAGGGAAUCUUCCGCAAUGGGCGAAAGCCUGACGGAGCAACGCCGCGUGAGUGAUGAAGGUCUUCGGAUCGUAAAACUCUGUUAUUAGGGAAGAACAAAUGUGUAAGUAACUGUGCACGUCUUGACGGUACCUAAUCAGAAAGCCACGGCUAACUACGUGCCAGCAGCCGCGGUAAUACGUAGGUGGCAAGCGUUAUCCGGAAUUAUUGGGCGUAAAGCGCGCGUAGGCGGUUUCUUAAGUCUGAUGUGAAAGCCCACGGCUCAACCGUGGAGGGUCAUUGGAAACUGGGAAACUUGAGUGCAGAAGAGGAAAGUGGAAUUCCAUGUGUAGCGGUGAAAUGCGCAGAGAUAUGGAGGAACACCAGUGGCGAAGGCGACUUUCUGGUCUGUAACUGACGCUGAUGUGCGAAAGCGUGGGGAUCAAACAGGAUUAGAUACCCUGGUAGUCCACGCCGUAAACGAUGAGUGCUAAGUGUUAGGGGGUUUCCGCCCCUUAGUGCUGCAGCUAACGCAUUAAGCACUCCGCCUGGGGAGUACGACCGCAAGGUUGAAACUCAAAGGAAUUGACGGGGACCCGCACAAGCGGUGGAGCAUGUGGUUUAAUUCGAAGCAACGCGAAGAACCUUACCAAAUCUUGACAUCCUUUGACAACUCUAGAGAUAGAGUCUUCCCCUUCGGGGGACAAAGUGACAGGUGGUGCAUGGUUGUCGUCAGCUCGUGUCGUGAGAUGUUGGGGUUAAGUCCCGCAACGAGCGCAACCCUUAAGCUUAGUUGCCAGCAUUAAGUUGGGCACUCUAAGUUGACUGCCGGGUGACAAACCGGAGGAAGGUGGGGAUGACGUCAAAUCAUCAUGCCCCUUAUGAUUUGGCUACACACGUGCUACAAUGACAAUACAAGGGCAGCUAAACCCGCGAGGUCAUGCAAUCCCAUAAAGUUGUUCUCAUUCGA